CACGUAGGGGGCAAGCGUUGUCCGGAUUUAUUGGGCGUAAAGAGCUCGUAGGCGGUUCGGUAAGUCGGGUGUGAAACCUCCAGGCUCAACCUGGAGACGCCACCCGAUACUGCUGUGACUAGAGUCCGGUAGGGGAGCGUGGAAUUCCUGGUGUAGCGGUGAAAUGCGCAGAUAUCAGGAGGAACACCAAUGGCGAAGGCAGCACUCUGGGACGUGACUGACGCUGAGACGCGAAAGCGUGGGGAGCAAACAGG
rnacentral:rRNA from 1 species